rnacentral:rRNA from 1 species
UACGUAGGGUGCGAGCGUUGUCCGGAAUCACUGGGCGUAAAGAGCUCGUAGGUGGUUUGUCGCGUUGUCCGUGAAAACUCACAACUCAAUUGUGGGCGUGCGGGCGAUACGGGCAGACUGGAGUACUGCAGGGGAGACUGGAAUUCCUGGUGUAGCGGUGGAAUGCGCAGAUAUCAGGAGGAACACCGGUGGCGAAGGCGGGUCUCUGGGCAAUUCCUGACGCUGAGGCGCGAAAGCGUGGGGAGCAAACGGG